rnacentral:misc_RNA from 1 species
UACGGAGGGGGCUAGCGUUGUUCGGAAUUACUGGGCGUAAAGCGCACGUAGGCGGAUUGUUAAGUCAGGGGUGAAAUUCCAGAGCUCAACUCUGGAACUGCAUUUGAUACUGGCAAUCUCGAGUCCGGAAGAGGUAAGUGGAACUCCUAGUGUAGAGGUGGAAUUCGUAGAUAUUAGGAAGAACACCAGUGGCGAAGGCGGCUUACUGGUCCGGAACUGACGCUGAGGUGCGAAAGCGUGGGGAGCAAACAGG